CGGGUGAGUAACACGUAUGCAACCUGCCUGCCACAGCCGGAUAAUCGGGAGAAAUUCCGUCUAAUACGGCAUAAUGCAUCGACGGGACAUCCUGUUGGUGCCAAAGGUUGAUUCCGGUGGCGGAUGGGCAUGCGUCGCAUUAGUUAGUUGGCGGUGUAACGGACCACCAAGACGACGAUGCGUAGGGGUUCUGAGAGGAAGGUCCCCCACACUGGUACUGAGACACGGACCAGACUCCUACGGGAGGCAGCAG
rnacentral:rRNA from 1 species